rnacentral:rRNA from 1 species
GACGAACGCUGGCGGCGUGCCUAAUACAUGCAAGUUGAGCGCUGAAGGUUGGUACUUGUACCAACUGGAUGAGCAGCGAACGGGUGAGUAACGCGUGGGGAAUCUGCCUUUGAGCGGGGGACAACAUUUGGAAACGAAUGCUAAUACCGCAUAAAAACUUUAAACACAAGUUUUAAGUUUGAAAGAUGCAAUUGCAUCACUCAAAGAUGAUCCCGCGUUGUAUUAGCUAGUUGGUGAGGUAAAGGCUCACUAAGGCGAUGAUACAUAGCCGACCUGAGAGGGUGAUCGGCCACAUUGGGACUGAGACACGGCCCAAACUCCUACGGGAGGCAGCAGUAGGGAAUCUUCGGCAAUGGACGAAAGUCUGACCGAGCAACGCCGCGUGAGUGAAGAAGGGUGUCGGAUCGUAAAACUCUGUUGGUAGAGAAGAACGUUGGUGAGAGUGGAAAGCUCAUCAAGUGACGGUAACUACCCAGAAAGGGACGGCUAACUACGUG